CGCGAAAGCUAGGGGAGCGAACAGGAUUAGAUACCCUGGUAGUCCUAGCCGUAAACGUUGGGUGCUAGGUGUGGGCGGAUAUCGACCCCGUCCGUGCCGAAGCUAACGCAUUAAGCACCCCGCCUGGGGAGUACGGCCGCAAGGCUAAAACUCAAAGGAAUUGACGGGGGCCCGCACAAGCGGCGGAGCAUGCGGCUUAAUUCGAUGCAACGCGAAGAACCUUACCUGGGCUUGACAUGCAGGGCAAAGCCGGUGAAAGCCGGCGCUCUACGGAGCCUGCACAGGUGGUGCAUGGCUGUUGUCAGCUCGUGCCGUGAGGUGUUGCCUUAAGUGGCGCAACGAGCGCAACCCUUGUCCCUAGUUGCCAGCGGGUCAUGCCGGGAACUCUAGGGAGACUGCCGGUGCCAAACCGGAGGAAGGUGGGGAUGACGUCAAGUCAUCAUGCCCCUUAUGUCCAGGGCUGCACGCAUGCUACAAUGCGCGGUACAAAGGGCUGCGAACCCGUAAGGGGGAGCGAAUCCCAAAAAGCCGCGCUCAGUUCGGAUCGGGGUCUGCAACCCGACCCCUGAAG
rnacentral:rRNA from 1 species